rnacentral:rRNA from 1 species
UACGAAGGGGGCUAGCGUUGCUCGGAAUCACUGGGCGUAAAGCGCACGUAGGCGGAUCGUUAAGUCAGGGGGUGAAAUCCUGGAGCUCAACUCCAGAACUGCCCUUGAUACUGGCGACCUUGAGUUCGGGAGAGGUGAGUGGAACUGCGAGUGUAGAGGUGAAAUUCGUAGAUAUUCGCAAGAACACCAGUGGCGAAGGCGGCUCACUGGCCCGAUACUGACGCUGAGGUGCGAAAAGCGUGGGGGAGCAAACAGGG